rnacentral:rRNA from 1 species
CCUACGGGAGGCAGCAGUGGGGAAUAUUGGGCAAUGGGCGCAAGCCUGACCCAGCAACGCCGCGUGAAGGAAGAAGGCUUUCGGGUUAUAAACUUCUUUUCUGAGGGACGAAGAAAGUGACGGUACCUCAGGAAUAAGCCACGGCUAACUACGUGCCAGCAGCCGCGGUAAUACGUAGGUGGCAAGCGUUAUCCGGAUUUAUUGGGUGUAAAGGGCGGGUAGGCGGGAAAGCAAGUCAGAUGUGAAAACUCAGGGCUCAACCCUGAGCCUGCAUUUGAAACUGUUUUUCUUGAGUGCUGGAGAGGCUAUCGGAAUUCCGUGUGUAGCGGUGAAAUGCGUAGAUAUACGGAGGAACACCAGUGGCGAAGGCGGCCUUCUGGGCUUUUACUGACGCUGAGGCUCGAAAGUGUGGGGAGCAAACAGGAUUAGAUACCCCUGUAGUC